CUUCAACGGAGAGUUUGAUCCUGGCUCAGGAUGAACGCUGGCGGCGUGCUUAACACAUGCAAGUCGAACGAU
rnacentral:rRNA from 1 species